UCAUAGUGUAUAUGUUUUAAUUACUGAUCACCAUACACUUAAACAUCAUUGUCACAUUUUCCAACAGACAACGCAUGACAUCUUAAAUUUGUUCAUUAAAAGUCACUGCAUAAUACAUUAAUACGUCUGUAGAAUUUGCUUCAAAGCAGAUUUACUUCACACUGCAUCCCCCAAGUACAGUGACCAGAGUACAGGGAACUAACCAAGGGCAUAGCAAGUUGGUAUAGUUUUAGCUGACUGCUGGUCACGGCCAUGCACUGGUCACAGGCAGACCUCCUAUCCCAUACAGAGUGACGUAUACAGCAGCAGGAGCAACAUGCCGACAGCCCAGAAGGGCAUGAAACUCAGCAGUAUUCAACAGAUUUGGGAAGGGGGCGUGUGGGUGAAAUCUAAAUAAUAAAUAAAUUGAAUACAGGAGGUAUUACAUGUUAGGGACAAAAUUAGAACUUGGAUAGGACUUCAUAAACUGCAUGAGCACUAAAGAAAUACAAAGAUACUAGAUAACUAUGGGAUUUUUAAACUUAGAAAGUAUGUCCAGUUGUAUUCCUUUAUAUACAAAUUGUAACUAAUUUCUGAGGUUUGGGAACUGCAUCAGUUCAUUGUAUAUCACAGAGUACUUCAGUGUUUUAAAAAUCACUAGUUCCCAACCUGAGAAAAAGACCAUGCUUCUGGUUUAAAACUUCCUUUUCCAUGUUUUCUUUAUGCAGCAUCUAGUUUGAUCUUCAAAAAAAAAAAUGCACAUCAGCUGCCCUGACUGCCAAGUUCUGCUACCAGUCCCUGACAAUCCACAAACUGCCCCAACUCUGACAAUUAAGCAUUCUGUGCCCCUGUCAGUCAUUAGUGGGGCAAGGAACAUUUCAUUAAGUGUGAAUAAGUGGGACUUUCAAUCAGUUCAGAACCAUUGACUUUAAUUAAUGAACAAUACUGAUAAUGUAGGAGAAUAUUUUAAAAAUGCAUUUAUUACCUUCCCUGGAUUGAAAUGCAUACACAAAUUGUGGUACCAUUAAAGGUUAAAUAUUGGUAUGCACCAUUAACCUUCUAUACUUUUACUACACUGAAAAUUCAAAUGCAUUACUACAACUCUACAAUAGACAUAGAGAAUGUCCAAGGAAAACUUCAAGUACUGGUUUUUCAAUUAAUUGAAAAUGGAAGUGUGCAUUUUCAGCAGACAGCAAGAACUCAUGCACACAGAGGCAAGGUUAAUAGUUUUAAAAAAACUGAAUCCAACUGAAAUAAGAGUUCCAAUUCCAACAGCUCAUUCAUGCACAACAAAUCUGUCAAGAGAUCAGUUUUCAGCUCAGCAUUCUUUGAUGCAAAAUCUCCAUUACAAUCCAUAUAUGGAAGCACUCAAGCAUAACACAUCAUUGUUCCCUUUCUGCUGAGAUUCCAGGUGGAAGUUACAGCAAUGGUGUACAUCUUGGCAUUGUCUCCAGUAAAUCAUCAUCCUUUAGAGUGCAUUAGAGAUGCUGCACAGCUGCUGAAAUACGAAAGCCUCCACUGAAUGGAGGUGUGUUUGCAAGGGAAAUAGCUCUAUUGGCAAUUUCUGCUGAAAUGUCAGAGGCAUUAAAGAAAGGUAAUGCCCAAAUAAGGUAAACAUCCACAGCAAGCUUAAUAUGAGGUGAUCCAACUAGCAAAGAUGUUACUUCUCUCGUUGUCAUUCUGGAUGGAAGGUUUUAUCAAGCACAAUUAACCAGCAUUUUAAUUACAAAAUGAUUUGCAGGUUUCACAGAAAAUAAAUAAUUACAUUUGAUUUUAUCACUCUUAUAGUUUACUCUAUUUUACAGAGAGAAAAUUUCAAACUAAUGGCACAGUGAAUGACAGCUCCACAUGGGAGGUAUAUUGUACAUUGGCUGGCUCAAGACUGUGUACAAGAAAUACAAAUAUCAGAAAUGGGACAGAAUUUCUGCACGAGACCUUGGGAGAAAAGGAAGACAUCUGAAAGACAAACUGGGUGGGAAGACAACAGCUUGGUGAAAGCGAAGAAUGAAGAUCAAGGCAGAUGUGAACAGGUGGAACAAGGCAGGGAUUCAGGAUUACUCUGGUCUUAUAACAUUAUUAUACACUGCAAUGGACAAAACCCAAUCACAGGAAUCCAAUGAACCUCGUUGAAGUACAUCUUUCUUUUAGCAGGGAGGCCAGGCCUGAACACAGUUUUCCAAGUGCAGUCUUUUCAAGAUAAGUCUUUGUUACUUUUGUACCUAAUUCCUCUUGCAAUGAAAUCAUUUGCUUCAUUGAUUGCCUGCUGUUAAUGUACCUGAACUUUCAAUGAUUUGUGUUGGAAGUAAAGAGUAAAAGUAAAGUAAAUUCAUUAUCAAAGUACAUAUAUGUCACCAUAUACAACCCUGAGAUUCAUUUUCUUGGGGGUAUACUCAACAAAUCUGAAUAACAUUAACCAUAACAGAAUCAAUGAAAGACCGCCCAACUGAAGUAUUCAACCAGAGUGCAGAAGGCAACAAAUCGUGCAAAUGCAAAAAGAAGAAAUAAUAAUAUAAAUAAAUUAGCAAUAAAUAUCAAGAACAUGAGAUGAAGAGUCCUUGAAAGUGAAUCUAUUGGUUAUGAGAACAUUUCAAUGAUAGGGCAAGUGAAGUUUAGUGAAGUUAUCCCUUUAUGUUCAAAAGACUGAUAGCUGAGGGAUAGUAAUUGUUCCUGAACCGAGUGGUAUGCCUCCUGAGGUUCUUGUACCUUCCUAGUGGCAGCAGUGAGAAGAGAGCAUGGCCCUGAGUGGUAGUGUCCCUAAUAAUGGAUGCUGCUUUCCUGCGAUGACGUUUCGUGUACAUGUGCUCAGUGGUUGGGAGGGCUUUAUCUGUGAUGGAUUUGGCCGUAUCCAUAACUUUUGGUAGGAUUUUCUAUUCAAGGGCAUUGGUGUUGUGUAUCAGGCUGUGAUGCGAUAUACUUUGCAAUACACAUCUGUAGAAGUUGUCAAAGUUUUAGGUGUUAGGUUGAAUCUCCGCAAACUCAUAAGGAAGUAGAGGUGCUGCUGUUCUGUCUUCAUAAUUGCACUUAGUGCUGGGCCCAGGACAGGCCGUCUGAGGUAGUAACACCUAGGAAUUUAAAGUUGCUGAUCCUCUCCACCUCCGGUCCUCUGAUGAGGACUGACUCAUGAAUCUCUGACUUCCUUCUCCUGCAGCCUAUAAUCAGUUCCUUGGUCUUGCUGACUCUGAGUGAGAGGUUGUCGUUAUGACACACUCAGCCAGAUUUUCAGUCUCUCUCCUAUAUGCUGAUUCAUCGCCACUUUUGAUUCGGCCCAUGGCAAAGGUGUCAUCAGCAAACUUGAAUAUGGCACUGGAGCUGAGCUUAGCUGUAAAACGACUAGAGCAGGGGCUAAGCCCUCAGCCUUGUGGUGUACUUGUGCAGAUGAGAUCGUGGAAAUGUUGCCAGUCUGAAAUGACUGGGGUCUACAGGUGAGGAAAUCCAGGAUCCAAUUAGAUAAGGAGGACAUGCAGUUUCCGCUUAAUGCCGAUCUAUGAGCAGUUGCGGGGACAGGUGGACCCUGACGUGCCAGCGGGACUGGCAGCUUGCCAGCCAUGCACAGUAGCAAGAGGAAUGUUGGAAGAGCAACGGUAAGUGCAGAGGAGGUGUCACCCUGAGGAAGGACUGUAGAUUUGUAUUUCUCUGAGCUGGUGCCUCUCCUAGAGGCAGAAUAUCAGAAUCCCUGGUAAUCUGCUGGAGUAUGAUCACCCCCUCAGAGGUCCCUCUCCACUACUUCCAUGCUCUGGGUUUGUAGGAAGCUAUCCAUUGCCACUGCAAAACUACAACAUUGGGUGACUUCUGUCUCAAGAUGCUGUGACAUCAGCGAUUGGCUGCUGACCCUUAGCUGGGUCUGUUCAUCUGAAAUUGACUAUCGCCCUUGUCCUGGGAAGGAUGAACUGCAGCUUCCUCACAGGACUGUGUGCAAGGUCACAAUUAAACACUCCCAUGCUCUCAGACAUUUCAGUCAGAUAUUCAAUGCCCUCAGCCUCUGGUACAAUGGCUUUCAUGUGUGAACAGCCCUAUAAUCAUUCAGAGCUGUACAAUGCUGCAAUAUUUAGACACUUUGGGCCAUCACAAUAUACAGAACUACCCUCUACUAACCCAUAGUAACAAGGUCUAUUCCAUCUCUUCUGGCCAUCACACAAAAUUUGACCAUGGCAGUUUGCAACAAGAUGGCUGGUCAAGUUCCCCUUCUUGUGAACAUUUUGCCAUCGUAAAGAAUGAAUGUUUACAAGUGAGUCUAUCGCAAUCUCAGAACUUCCCAAAUACGUUUUGCCCACGUGGACAUUGUGGUAGAUUUGAAGAAUAUAAUCUGUAAUGUAGGGAAGCACAGAGUAAUAUCUAGAUGCAAGGCAGGAUAAUGGAAGAUUGAGAGAGAGCAUAAAAUCAAGGCAGAGGGAGCCUGGAAAGUGGAAAAGUAAAUGAGAAUGAACAAGUGUAGAGUGUGAGUAAUGGACCUGUGUUCCAAUAGCUUUUUACAGUGAAAUUAUUUAUUUAUUUUUGACUUGGAAAUACAUUAUAAAAUUAAAAUAGAGUUAAAAACACCAAAUUAUGGAUGUUUGUUCAUUAUGUGCCAUGCUGUGUGUCAUAGGUGACCAUGGUCUUUCCAUGACCAUGAUCGUUCUUGGCAAAUUUUUCUACAGACUUCUGUCUUGCUUGCAGAACAGACACAAGCCACCCAUUGUCACCUUUUGGGCAGUGUCUUUACAAGGUGGGUGACCCCAGCCAUUGUCAAUAUUCUUCCGAGAUUAUCUGCCAGGCGUCAGUGAUCACAUAACCAAGACUUGUGACAUGCACCAAUUGCUAUACGACCAUCCACAAACUGCUCCCAUGGCUUCAUGUGACCCUGGUCAGAGAGGCUGAACAGGUGCUACACCUUGCCCAAGACCUGCUGGCUAGUGGAGGGAAGGAGUGCAUUACACCUCCUUUGGUAGAGACAAAUCUCCACCCCACCUCUCAAUGGAUGUGAUUAAAUUCAGAAUAUUAAACUAAUGCUUUGGGGAAAUGUGAUAAAAUGUGUUCACAAUUUGAUGUAAAUGUAUUAAGUAGUGGGCUCCAGGAGAAAAUUAAAUUUCGGAGUAUUUAAAAGCUGGUGUCAGCCAUGGUUGAUGUUAAAUUUUGCUAUUAGAACAGGAGCAGAUGUAAGUUAUUCUUAUUGUUGCUGCACAAAACUAUUUUGCUAUAAUUUGUGCCUCCCUCCAGCCACAGGAGGUCACUAAGAUGCAGUAUUUAGUAUCUACUCAACGUUUUGCUGGGACUGUCAUAUUUCUGCUCUGAGUAUCGACAUUAAAUCUCUUUUACUCAACAUCAAAACACAACUCUGAGCAAAGCAGAGCAUCUCUUGGCAAAACACAUUUGAAAAUUCUACGUGACUGGAAUUAAGAUGUUAAUCAUAAAAGAUGUUAAAGUUCCUACUAACCAAGCACCUGAUAAAACAUUAACCGACAGAAAAUCUGUUUUAAAAGCAUCGGCAAAUAUGGUUUUAAUAUGUAAAUAUUUUGCAAUCAGUGAAAGCCAGGGUUAAUUGUAGUUUGCAAUGAACAAAGAAGUAUAAUUUGAACAGGAGUAUGAGGAUACACACUCAAUAUUUUAGGGCCAGCUUCUCCCCCUCUGCCAUCAGGUUUCUUGACAGUCCAAGAAUCCAUAAACACUACCUUACUAUUUUGCUCUCUUUUUGCACUAUUUACUUAAUUCAAUAUAUUAUUGUAACCCAAAGUAAUUUUUAAUUUAUUGCACUGUACUGCUGCCACAAAAUUUCACAACAUAUGUCAGUGAUAAUGAGCUUAAUUCUGAUAGCCUAUUCUUAAGUAUCAACCUAAUACUCUAUUCAUCGGUUUCAAUGGUGCAUUGCCUAACCUCAUAACAAUUUGAGUAAAAUAUUAAAGGCAACAUAACAAUUCAAUACAAGUGGAGGUGCUGCUUCACAUUCAGUAACCUGGGUUCUGUCCGGUGUGUCUGGUUGGAGUUUGCACGUUUUCAUUGUCCCCAUGUGGAUUUCAUCCAGGACCUUUGGUUUCCUCUCACUACCAAUAGUUGAGGAGGAUAGGAUAGUAGGUAACUGGUCACUGUAAAUUACCCCUUGUGAGUAGGUGAGCAAUAAAAUUUGUGGACAGGGAGGUGGAGAGCUUUUGGGAAUGUGGGACCAACAGGUUACAGAGAGGAUUGUGCUCCAGGAUUGCUCUGUAAACUGACAUGGAUUCAAGGAUAUUCCUUCUAAGUCAUAAAAAAUAUGGGCAACAUUUUUCUGACUUUAAUACUCUGCAGGUUAGACAGAAAGUGUAGGACCAAAAUGUAGUCAAUGCUUCAGGUCAAUGACACUUCAUCAACAACACAAUAUUCACUGUGCUAAAGAAAGCAGGCUCAAUUUUUCUAGUUAUUUUAUACCAAUAUUAGUUCUAGUUAUUUUAUUAUUUUGAACCAGCUUUUGUCUUCUCUGUUACAUGAACAUUCUAGAGCAGGGGUACCUCACCUGGGGUCCAUGGACCCCUUACUUAAUG